rnacentral:lncRNA from 1 species
CCUUUACUAAUGAAUGGGUCGAGUCGAGCUCUUCUCUUCCUUCAUCUUAAUGGGGAAAGCAUUUUAGCCAGGGGAGUGCUGGAAUGAGGGGCUCGCGGGUCUGUCAGUCUUUCUCGGUAGGAGUUACUUCUCCAACUCAAGAUUCUUCUCCUGCUGAGGCAAAACAGAUAUAUCUAAGCACUAGCGCACCUUACUGCUGAUGCUCCACUUAUAUCACUAG